rnacentral:rRNA from 1 species
UACAGAGGGGGCAAGCGUUGUUCGGAAUUACUGGGCGUAAAGGGCGCGUAGGCGGCCUGCUAAGUCGAACGUGAAAUCCCUGGGCUCAACCCAGGAACUGCGUCCGAUACUGGUUGGCUUGAAUCCGGGAGAGGGAUGUGGAAUUCCAGGUGUAGCGGUGAAAUGCGUAGAUAUCUGGAGGAAUACCGGUGGCGAAGGCGGCAUCCUGGACCAUAACUGACGCUGAGGCGCGAAAGCUAGGGGAGCAAACGGG